rnacentral:lncRNA from 1 species
AGCUAUGGAGACAAGUGAAUGCGCAACAAGGGAUCUCUAACCUUCAAACAGUUGAGGGAGAAUACUAUAUGAUAUGAUUUGAAAUCUCUGGCCAGAGUAUGAAUGAGAUUAGGGAAUGCGUUCCAAAUCACAUUCAAGGAAAUCAUAUAAGCACACGAAUCACAUUGGAUAGUAGACAUGAAUAAAUAAACUAUCAUACCAAACAAUGUGGACAAGAGUAUUAGAUUAGAGAAGGACCGUAUUGCAUUUGUAAUCCCAAACUGAAUAGGUUCUCUAUCCUCUUCUGAUUAGCUUGGGUAACCAUGAUAUGCUGCUAGGUGUCACUCAUGGUUUGUGGAAGCCCUAAACGUGUGUAAUCACUAAAGGGAGAAUUGAAAAUAGUUUCAAUUCACAAUCGAUGUAAAAUGGUUUUAAUCGCCCACUACCUCGCUAAAAGGAACCUAAUGGAUCGCACACCAUAAAAGGUGGAGAUUGAAGAUUAAACGGAAAUGAGUAAGAAUGAUUAAAUGAUUUAAUCAUUUAUUUAUGGCAAGGAUUAAUUAAUAUGUUAAUUAAUCAAACGAAUAAGUUCGUUAAAGACUUCGGGAUAGUUUUGGACCUUAAGGCCCAAUGGGCUUCGAACGUCAAGCCCACUAACUUAAGUUGUAUGACAAUUUAAUGAAUGAAGAUUCAUUAAAGCCCAAAAGCCCAAAAUCCCCUAAAUGGCAAGCCAUAGUGUGAUGAAUUAGGGUUUUGGUUAUUUAGGUCACUUAAAGAAGUGACUAUAUAAAUGACUUUAUAGCCAAAUAUUCAUUAAGUGAUUAAGGGUUUAUUUUGGGGGAAAAUUGGUGAGAAUUGUCUCUCCAUUUUCUCUCUAAAGAGGCCAACACCUUGGAGGGUACAUCUAGCAAUCCUACUACUCCAAGGUCACUCAUUUCUUCUACAAUCAAACCUUGGUGAAGAGACUUAGAGGUUCCCUAUUUUGGGAACUUGGAGAAACCUAUUUUUCCAUCCAAAUCCAUGGAUCUAAGAAGCAAGGAAUGAAGGCCCUAUCUCUUUGGGUGAUUAGCCUUUGCUUAUGCAAAGAGGAAUCUACAAAGGUAAUAAUUUCAACUCACUUUGUUUUGAGUUGAUUAUUGGUUCACCAAUCUACUAGGCUUUGAAUUUCAUGGUAAUGUUUUGUUUUUGAGUGCAUGCAAGCAUGAUUCCGCCUUUAAUUGUUAAUUGCAUGCUAUAUGGUGUUGCUCAAAUGAACAUGUUUUUCAAAAUAAAUCCUUCACAUCAAACUGCACUGCAGACUUCUAAAUUUACUGCUAGAGGUUCCAUGGUUUGUUCUACCAUUUGGAUCAAUAUUUUAAGGGAUGUGAUAUACACACACCCCUUUUUACUUCUCUUACACCUUUUUAGUUUUCGGAUGUCGGAUUGGAUGAAUUGAAGAAGAUCAACGGAUAUAAAUUAACAAGGGGUGUGUGAGAAGUACAAAAGGGUGUGUUGAUAGCACACCCCACUCUAAUGGGCCAUGGUAUUUUCUCCACGCUCAUGAGUGGCUUGACUAAAGUAAUUUCCACUUUUACUUUAUCUAGACAUAUGAUUGAUACUAUGACAUCAGUUUGUCUACUUAUCUUCCAUUGCAACACAUGUUUUACUAGAACCAUUACCAGGCUUUUGGAAAAAUCUGCCAAAUUGAAAUGGCCUACAAAUGGACAUUUUAGACAAGAAGAGGAAGUGUUUGCAGUUCUUCUCCUUGUACACGUACCCAAUCCUCUUCAAAUCUGUUUCUCUUACUUUUCAGAAGUUGAUUUCUAUGGUUUUUUGUAUAGCAACGGGUACGGAGCAGAUUGGUUGCUCUUCUUUUUCUCCUAAUCUUGUUGAGAUUGAGAACUUCUAUUAGAUGAUCAUUCUUCCAAAGUUGCAGUCUCCGCAUGCGACUGAGCAUCCGAUGCUCAUGGAUAAUGCAUUGAAAAUUUUCAUAGCAAUCUGGAAUGCUACACUAGAAACUAUGAUAUUACAGUUUUCUCUAACUUUGCCACAGUUCUUGAGUGCCGAGUCAAUAGUUUUGCAUUCAUUUGCUAUCAAUGACCUUGACCAGUCACAAAAAAGCAAGCACAAUAUUCUCCUGGAGCAAUUUGGUGCAAGAAAGGCUAGUUUAGGCCUUGCUUACUUCAAUUUUCAUGACAAUGGGAUUACUGCUCUUCUCCAAUUCAAUCUGGCAAUAUCUUUUCUAAGCUCUUAUUUCCCUUAUGUUCAUCAAUGGCACAUACUUUUAUAGAGCCUAUCCGCAAGUUAUAAACAAUAUGUGCUUUGGAUGUUUAAGGCUGCUAUGUCUUACUCAGGAACAUGGUGUUUUGAGCUAAUUAUCAAGCUGGUGAGAAGUGUUGGGGUCCAGUUGGACCACACUCUAUAUAACCACGCCAUUUUGGGACUUUUGACUGCCAAGAGUCUUGGACAAACCUGUAUUGUGAUGUAUGGUGUUUUGAGCCAUUUUGGAAAUGUUCAUGAUAUCAAGACUUGGGCCAUUUUGUUUGCAGAUCAUUCUUUCAUGGUCAAAGAGCUGUCACGUUUGGUAGAGUUGAUACAAUAUUGUGUUGAUGAUGCCAAUUGGUCUGAUGCAUCGCUACUUACUCCGAGGAUGCAAGAUUAUUAUUCGAUCAACACCAAAUUUGAUGAUACCUACUUGCAAAAUGUAUCACGGUAUAAAUUGAAGAUCAUUUUGGGUCUUUGUUCAGUAGCAUUAUAUGCAUUAGGAUCAUUUAGGCCAAAGUUCUUUGGUUAUAUCACUUUUCUGGAUUUUUGGAAGCGAGUGUGCUUGUGGAAUGCUAGACGAUUUGGGAAUUUAGCAUUUUCACCAAGGGUAUAUGCGGGUACAUAUUCAACAACUGAGGUCAAGUUUGCUAGGAUUGAAUUGGUACUCCUCUGUUAUCUUCUCUAUCCUUUGCCAACCAUGGUUUUUGGGCUUUCAGCUUUCGUUAAACCAAAGGAGAGGUUGAAUACCAUUUUACGAGAUGUGUGCUUCAUAGCUCAUGCACUUCUACAGAGAUCAUGCAUGGUGGAAGCACAGCUUGGCAGGCUUGGUUCAAAAUUCUGUUUGGAAGCCAAUUUUCUUGUGGUCUGUUUGGAGAUUCACACUCCACUGGUUUUCGAGGCAUCUAUCAUGAUACUUUUUUUUUAGAACCCCAAGGCUUGGGAGAACAAGUAGCGCAAGCCUCUACAUGCCAAGGACGGCAUGAGAACAAGCCUUAUUUUAAGGGGGAGGGAAUGUUAGGAUCCUUUUUGUUGGGUUUAUAUCUUUAUGGUAUUUUAUCUUAUCUUUGUAGUAGUUGACUUCAUCCAACGGUUCUGAGGAUAGAGAUGUGUUCCCAUAUGGGCACUCCUCUGCUAGGGUUGUAUAUAAGCCUCCUUUCACCAUUUGGGAAAGGCAUGAAUGAAAAGAAUUGUUAUUUUAUUUCUUACUUUUCUUGCAUUUUCCUUUUCUUCUCCAUUCCUACGGAAUGGGUCCUAUCAUAGUGCUGGAUUUAUUUAAUGUGGAAAUGUGGAGUGUUAUAGUUAUAGGAUAUUUUGAUGUAAGAAUUAGACAACUUAAUUAGUUUGGUCCGGCGAGGAUAUUUGAAGAGUAAUGUUCUAUUGUCAUAAUUUGUGAUGUUACGAUGUCAAUUAUUAAUGUUGGACCAUAGAAUUGAAUAGAGUUCACUUCAUUAACGCUCUAGAUUGACAGUCUGCCAACAUUGAAUAGAGUUCACUUGAUUAUCAUGUUGAACACUCGGGUAAGAGGAAGUUCCCUCAUCUGUGAAUAUUUUUUAAUUUCUAGACUUGGUCAUCGUUCGGUUGAAGACCAAGUAAACAACAGAACUUGAGCUGCUAAUUGUGGUACAUGGAAAUGGUGCAAUGACAUUUGUGUUAAUAAAGUGCAAUCUAUGCCUUCAAUGCAAUGCUUGUUCAAUAGUUUGAAUGAUCUUGGAGAAGCCUUCCCAGUCCUGUGCUGAACUGUGGAGUAAAGUAUUAAUGGGUUAUGUAGGUGAGUCUUGCCCUAGGGAAUGGGAUGUAGCUAAGGUAUCGAAAAACCAAUGUAAGACCUUCAAGUGACAACAACAUUUGGAAGCUUGAUGUAGUAGCUAAAUGCUUUGGUGCUCAUUUGGUGACUAGGAUUAGAAUGGAUUGUGUAACUUGUAACUUUCAAGUUUUAUCAAAGGUAGAGAUGAAUAAUUUUUAACUUUGAGAGGAUUAGAAGGGGAAGUGAAGGAAACAUCAUUUUUAUUUUUAAGAAGACAAUCCUACCAUUUUGGGGGGAUUGAAAUGGAUAAGUUUCAUUAUUGAAUAAUUUAUCAUCAACCUUCAAGUUGAACACGACCUUUUUAUUUCUUUCUUCAAACAUACUUUAAAUACAGUUAGGUUAUUCCACUCCAAUCCUCAACACCAAGUGAGUCCUCAAUGUACGACACGGACUCAUCAUGGUUGCUCUUGGGAGCCUUAACUUGGACCUCAUUGUGAACAAUCUAACUUUUGUACAUCGAUACACGACCAUUAGGAGAGACUUUCGAAGGCCAUUGGGCCCUCGUGUGAAGUUGAAAGUCUCGCAUAGUAGGUAUUUCGACGCUGCCAAAUCUAAUGCAAGGAGAUGAGGGCUUAUAUUACGAUUCGUAACACUACAAAGGGUGAUGUGAAAAUUAACUUGACACACAAAUUAAACCCUAUUGAUGACAAUUGUAGUAUUAAGCAAGUAGGGAUCGUUCUAGACCGGGGAUUAACUAGGGAUGCUAAUCAACACAAAUAAGACUCAAAAAGACUAAAUUAGACUUAAAAGCACUUAACUAAACUUAAAAACACUAAACAAGACUCUUAGGACUCAAAACAGACUCAAAACAGCAAAACUAACUUAAAAAAACUCAAAACAGGUUCUAAGGACUAUUUGGACGAAUUUAACACUAAAGAGACUCAAAACACUAAUUUGGACAAAUUGAAACACCUUUUUAACUAAUCUAAGACACGUAAUGGAAAGGGGAAUUGAUUUGGACAAAAUUAAUUAAAUUAAACAGAUUGUAAACUAAAGAAAAUUAGGUAUGAAAUUAAGUGAAUUGAAUGGUGAAAUAGGCUAGUUAGAGGAUCCUUCUCCGCACAUAAACAUAUGCAACAUAAAUCGAUUUCCAGUAUUGUUUCUUUAAACCAUGAACGACAAUGCCCCAAAUUAAUCGUGAAUGCACAAAUUAACUCUCAGAUUUCCCUAAACUCAUUGAAUUGAAUGGACAACGCAUCGCAACCAAAUUAUUUUUCUCAAGUUCCUUAUAUGAAUAGCAUGAUAGAGAUACAUUCAAAGAUCAUUAAGUUCUAUGGAAAUCAUAAGCAUUGACAAGGCAAUUAUAACUAUGAACUGCAUGAUACUCUUGCCAAGAAUCUACUUAACACAAUUGUGACUAACAAUCUCCACUACUUGUAAUUAUAAGUUCCUAACGAUUAGGUGAAAGUCCCUUACAAUUUAGCAUCAGAUUCAUGUAUGCAAACUAAGUAUGCAUCCUUAAUCAACACACAAGAAUAAGUUAUCAAUCAAAUAGAUAAGUAAAUCACAUUCAUGUUUUACGAAACAAUAACUGAAAGGAAUCAAUUCAUAUUAAACAUAUGUCCAUGACUUUGAAUUCACCUCUAAGAAAAACUUAGUUACACAUAUUCACAGCAAUUGAAAAGCAAAUUGAAAUAGAAACUAAAACGAGGGAAGAAAGAACUCUUAGAACUCCCAAGGAUGCAGGUGGCUUGUGCACAAGGUCUUCGUUCAUCAAUGGAAUGCACGGCACGGGUCCUUCUUCUCCAAAAGUGCAGCAAAGAGUUGUAGAAUGGUGAAUAUGGUGUGGCAAGUUGUGUUUUUGAAUGGUUAGGGGGUGGUGCACGAAAUUGUGGUUGAAAACACAUAUUUAUAGCCUAGGGUUUUGACAAAUUCUGAUGGGAAAAGGCUUAGGAUUUUCGGCAAAGGCUUGGGCCUCAAUCCAAAGGGGAAAAGAACUAGGAUUUGUGCAGAUUUUAGGAUAUCUAGAAGGGUUUGGGGUGCCACUUUUGUAGGGAAUUCUAGAAACAAUGUUAUAUGGCUGAUUUCUAUAAGAACAAGGCCUAAAAACAUGCACCACCAAUGUAGGAACAGAUAAGGCCUUUUAGAAAGGUUUCUAGGUGAUUUAAAUCAGAAAUUAACUCCCCCUUGCAACAGGAAUUAAGUUAGGAAAAGAUUAGGAUAGGAUAGGAUAAGAUAAAGAUUGUUUGGAUAAGAUAAGGUUGGAUAAGGUUUUGGAUAAUAUCUCAUUCUUUUGAGCUAAUUCCUUAUCUUCUUUGUCUUGGAUUAAUUUUUUCAACUCUUUAGCACAUUCCUAGCCUCUCUUGAACUUCAAAUUCGUCCAUUCCUUGUGCUCCAUAUGUAAGCUAUCCAUUCUUGGCCCAAAACUGCUCCAAAAUGCUCCAAAUUGCACUUUUUUGCCAACUUUGUCAUUUGGACCUAUAAACACACGAAAAUAACUUAAAACACUAUAAUAAACACAAACAGACUAUGAAAAUGCAAGAAAACAAGCUAACUAAGUCACAUAAAUAUGCUCCUAUCAAAUUCCCCCACACUUAGCUUUUGCUAGUCCUCGAGCAAAAUGAAACAAACAAAACAAAACAAAACAUAACCUAGACCUUCCAACAUUCACCUCAGGGAUUUCCAAUGGAACAUGACAUGCUAAAAGUCACUACUCACAUAGAUUUUAGCUAUCCUUACCCUCGAGCACAUACUUAAUCGCAGUCACCACUCACUAGCUCGCAUUUAAUCAAUUUAAAACAUGGUUUUGAUGGUGGUAACAUGCCUUAGAGAAUUCCCUCAAUUCUUCACCAAAUAUACUCUCUAUUUUCACACAGAUUUUCUGGCUACACUCCCUAUACUAGGUAUAUGUGAGAAGAUUGAUGUAAACAUGUAGACUAGCCACUCACAUAUGUUUUAAGCAAAGAAAACACCUUCUGGAAUUAUUAAUGCAUGUAUAUAUAUAUGAUCUCAUGAACGGAAUGCUACUACUUAGACGCGAGAACCAGGGAUACCAUAUGCUCAUACCAAUCCCAAACUCCACAUAUUGAAACACACAACAACCAAGAUAAAAGUCUAAGGGUUGUAAUGUGGCUAAGGGUAUUGGCUAACAAAGAAAGGUUAAGGAUAAACAAAGGUUCUUAAAGCAAUAGUAAGCAAAGCAAUAAAAUCAACUUAGAAUUCACUCUUGAAUGUAGCAAAUAACUUGACACACUAAGGGGAUUUCGAACAACUUAGGGUCAUAUUCAAAUUUUUUGACCCUUUCUUCAACAACCAAUACUUGUGAGUUCUUUCUCACUUCUUUCACAACUUUUUUCUUUCCUUUUCUUCUUUUUCACUUUUUUUUUUCGUUCUUUCUUUCUUUCUGCCCUUGUACAUAUCAUUCCCCCACACUUGAUUUCUACAAUAUGUUUGAUCAAAACGAAUUCCCUCUAAAUCAUGCUCCACUAUAUUUUAAGAACAUGGGUAUGGAUAGUCCUAUUCUAGGCUAGGCAGGGAAUAAUGUGGUUAACAACGAAAAUAGGCUAAAUAAGGCUCAAAGGGAUUAAACCUACAAAACAAAUGCAUGGGAUGAAGGUUUUUUUUUUGGCUCUGGUGGUAACUGCUAAACAACUUCAUCUUGUUAUAUGUUAUGCACUCAAUUUUAAGUUUUGAAUGAAACGGGCAUGAAUUCUAGUAUUUUGAUCUAAAGUGAUGAAACACAUUCUAAGUAGCAACCAAGCAAAGAAUAAUGAGAUCAUGCAACAACUUUAGAAAGCAAGAAAUCACAGAUUAAUAACUCUCCAAAUAAAGUUUAGGCUUAAGUCUCUCAGGGUUGUAGCAUUAGUUUGAGUUCCUUCCUUCAAGCAUGUUACAAAAACUGUUUUUUUCCUUUGUGAUUACAGGUGAAUUCGUAAACGUUAACUACAACCAAGCAUAAACCAAAGAGCAUAUCCAACUUCCAUCCAUGUUUAUAACUUUCUUUAACAGUCAUGCAAUUAAAAACCAAAUCCUCAUCAUUGUGUUGGAAGGUACCCUAAGACACAAACACACAAAAAUAACUCUAAAACGACUCUUUUUGGGGUUUUCAAAACAUUUUCUAAUUUUUUUCAAUUUUUCGUAUUUUUCUUUCAAAACAUACUAAAACACUUCAAAACACUUUAAAAACACUUAAAAACAAUAAAAAACAACUCUAGUUAUGCUAGGUAAUAAAAACCCACGAAUUUGCAAUAAAACACUUGUUUACCCCCCACACUUAAACCAAACAUUGUCCUCAAUGUUUCAAACAAAGACUCACACGCAAGCAAGAAAACAACACAACUAACAAACAUGACAAUCAUGGCAAAGUAAAAGCAAUAAAGAGUAGAGUUUAAGAACACAAAUCUGGUUAUGGAGUCGGAGCUUCCUCGGUCUUCUUUAUUUGAACGCAUGGGUUGCCUCCCAAGAAGUGCUUGCUUUAACAUCUUCCAGCCGGACAAAAUCCCUUCUUAAGCUUUAUUGGACCCCACGACAUGGAGUUGAUCUUUGAAUGGGAGGUGAUACUUGAAAUGAUCCGGUAAUGGUUUAAAUUCUAAAGUGGGUGCCUGAAUCAUUAACAACAUAUUAGUAUAAAACAAAAUUGAAAUUCGGGGAGGUGGCUUACCUGUGUGCUCCCACAUGAACUCGAGAAUAAAUACCCCUUCGAACAUUGUAGAACUAGAAAAUUCAGCCAGAUUUGGUGUUUUGAGAGUUAUGACUUGUCCCGUGUCAUAAAAUCCAACUUCUUUGGGAAUUGUCGUCUCAAGUAUAUCCUCUUUGAUGAAUUCUAGACAUUCCCCAUCCACUUCUUGCUCUUGAUUCUUUGGAAAGGUUUCAAAGAUGCCUUUCUCACCCUCUUCUUCCUUGAAUUGCUUGAUCCUGCAAGGAAUAAGGACAUUUGGUGGAACAGGGUCAGGAUGAAUUGAAUUUGGGCUUACCUUGGUUGUAGUGGAUGGCAUAGAGGGCAUAUGGGGCUGCGGAAAAGGUUGUUCUUCCCUUGCCGUGGCCUUGUUAUUCUCCUCUUCUUCGAACAGCAGCUGUUCAUCCUUGUUUUGGCUUGGUUUGGACGUCUUGGGUUCAUCUCCAACCACCAUGCCACUUUCCAAGGUGAUAGCUUUAACAGUUGAUUCAGAUAGUUCACUUUGUUCUUGCAUUUGCCCCAUGAAUUCCGUGAUCUCUCCCAAUUGAUUCUUCAAUUCGCUCAUCACAUGGGCUUGAUUUUGUGAUUCUUGCGUCAAAGAAGUUAGUAAAUCAAGAAUUUGAGCGGAAUCUAUUGAUGAACCUAAAUUCGGUUGGAAUUGUUGUGGGGCAGGUUGUGGUGGCUGCAUAGGCUUUGUAUAGAACUCCUUAUAUGGAUGCCAAUAUUCUCCUUGUUGAGCCUCAUUGACUUGAUUUUGUGAGCCCUGCGUCAAAUUAGUUAGUAAAUCAAGAAUUUGAUCACAAUCUAUUGACGAACCUGAGUUUGGUUGGUCAUAUUGUAUAUAAGGUUGUGGUGGCUGCGUUUGGCUUGAAUAGAACUUCUCAUAUGGCUGCCAAUAUCAUUCGUGUUGAACUUGUUGAGAUUCCCACCACAUAGAGUUUGAAUGAUCACUCAAAUCUGAAUUGUACAUGUUGGAAAACAAAUUGUUCCCUGAUUGAUUAUGACCUUGAUAACCCCAGGUAUUGACAUUCUCCCAACUAGGGGUGGGCACGAGCCGGGCCGGACCGGACCGGCUUAAAAAGGAAACGGGACGGGCCGGGCCGGGUAUCGUAAAUCUGAUCAUUGGAAUCGGACCUAACCCGGCCUGUUUGAAACGUGCCGGUUAGGGACGGGUCCACGGGUCCUUUUUUUUUUUUUUUUUUUUUUCUGGUUUUGAACCCCUCCUAGACUCGCCAUCCUCCAGAAUCCUAGAUCUUCGACUCGGACACAACUGGAUGAUACAAUGUACAUAUCACCUACAUUCACAGAGAUGCAACGUAUGAACAACUAACAAACACAUAGGAUCCAAGACACGCCAAGAAUUUAAACAGUGAUUGACCCGUCAUUAUCAUCUUUAAAGACUCGAAGCAUACAAGAUUUAAAUCGCAAAGUGAAUGUUCACACAGCCAUUCUGGGGACCUUCAUGCCAAAUCCAAGCUUUGCCUUCUCAAUUAUGUCCAAUAAAAUGUCAACGAUCAUGAAUGAAUCAAUACGAAUACAAAUUAAUAAAUGAUAAGCCAUCAGACAAGCUGAAACAUAAAAGUCUUUAAUUAUGAAGGUUGAUCUAUUACCAAAUGGUGGUUAUCAUAAACGAAAAAAAAUUAACAAAUGCAAAGAAAGAAAAUGACGGUAAUCUUAGUUUACACUUGCAAACACAGGGCAAUAGCCAAAUAAGGAUCAAGCUAAGUUGUUUGAUAUCGAUCGAGCAAUUUUCUUUACGUAGGAUCUUAACAACAAGACGGUAAUCAACAUGCCGAGGCUUUUUAAAUCUUCCCCUGAGUCCUUAUCCACCACUCUCCCAGACAUUUCGACGAUUCUCAAACCAAACAAACAAAAAAUCAAAAAAAUCAGAAGGCCGGGGGAGAGAGAGAUCGAGAGGGAGGAAGUUGAGAAUCGACAGAUCCAAGGUGUGAGAAAUCAGAGACACAUGCGUCGGGAGAGAGAGAGAUUGGGGGGGGGAGAGAGAUCGAGAGGGAGGAGGUUGAGAAUCAACAGAUCCAAUGUGAAAUCAAAGACAGAGGCGUCGGGAGAGAGAGACUGGGGAGCGAGAGAGGGAGGAGACUGAGGAAAGGAGAGUGACGAGAGCCUUCGAGAAGGUGUGAGCCACUGUGGUGGAGGUCGCGGUGGGGUGUGGGUAUGGGUAUGUUGUGUCUGCUUCGGGAAUGAGAGUUGCAGAGAUGGGUGUGGUGGAGGUUGCGGUGGGAUGUGGGUGUGGGUGUGGAGUAUCUGCUCCAGGAAGGAGAGUUGCAGAGAUGAGGGGAGAAUAAACAUAGAGAGGCAUGGAGAGUUGCAGGGAUGGGAAAGUAAUGAAAAGUUGCGGAGAUGGGAGUAUCGAGAUAAGAGAGAGUGAGUGAGACAAGGUGGCAAUGUUCUCGAGAUUAAGAACUGUCACGGGAUGCCUGGGAGACAGUAAUCUUUUCAAAAUUGGGAUGUUACACAAACGGGUCCCCGGGUACCCUUUUUUUUAUAAUUCUGGACUCGGCCCGCCCCUAAAAUUCUAAAGCCCCGCCCCGCCCUGCCUCGUUUCUCUUUUUAAAAAUUAAGAACCGGCCCGUACCCGCCCCGAACCUUGAUUACCCGCCCCGACCCGCGGUUCCUGUACCCAUUUGCCCACCACUACUCCCAACCUCUUUGUGGACGUUGAUUUGCUUGAUAUUCUUGGCUAUAAGACGCACCAAAUAUAGGGACACUUUGCCUUGUGGUAAUACUGUGACAACUGAGAAGUAAGAUUCGCUAUUUGAGCUUGAAUGUUAGCAAUUGCCAUAUCUUGCUUCUCUAGUACCUAAAAUCAAAGAAAGAAAACUAAAUCAAAUAUCAAAAGUAAUAGACACGAAUAGAAACAAAGGGAGAUUAGCAAUUUUGCUAAUCCCCGGCAACGGCGCCAAAAUUUGAUGUGAAAAUUAACUUGACACACAAAUUAAAUCCUAUUGAUGACAAUUGUAGUAUUAAGGAUCGUUCUAGACCGGGGAUUAACUAGGGAUGCUAAUCAACACAAAUAAGACUCAAAAAGACUAAAUUAGACUUAAAAACACUUAACUAAACUUAAAAACACUAAACUAGACUCUUAGGACUCAAAACUAACUUAAAAAAAACUCAAAACAGGUUCUAAGGACUAUUUGGACGAAUUUAACACUAAAGAGACUCAAAACACUAAAUUGGACAAAUUGAAACACCUUUUUAACUAAUUUAAGACACGUAAUUGAAAGGGGAAUUGAUUUGGACGAAAUUAAUUAAAUUAAACAGAUUGUAAACUAAAGAAAACUAGGUAUGAAAUUAAGUGAAUUGAAUGGUGAAAUAGGCUAGUUAGAGGAUCAUUCUCCGCACAUAAACAUAUGCAACAUAAAUCGAUUUCCAGUAUUGUUUCUUUAAACCAUGAACGACAAUGCCCCAAAUUAAUCGUGAAUGCACAAAUUAACUCUUAGAUUUCCCUAAACUCGUUGAAUUGAAUGGACAACGCAUCGCAACCAAAUUAUUUUUCUCAAGUUCCCUAUAUGAACAACAUGAUAGAGAUAUAUUCAAAGACCAUUAUGUUCCAUGGAAAUCAUAAGCAUUGACAAGGCAAUUAUAACUAUGAACUGCAUGAUACUCUUGCCAAGAAUCUCCUUAACACGAUUGUAACUAACGAUCUCCACUACUUGUAAUUAUAAGUUCUUAACGAUUAGGUGAAAGUCCCUUAUAAUUUAGCAUCAGAUUCAUGUAUGCAAACUAAGUAUGUAUCCUUAAUCAACAUACAAGAAUAAGUUAUCAAUCAAAUAGAUAAGUAAAUCACAUUCAUGUCUUAGAACUCCUAAGGAUGCAGGUAGCUUGUGCAUAAGGUCCUCGUUCAUUAAUGGAAUGCACAGCAAGGGUCCUUCUUCUCCAAAAGUGCAGCAAAAAGUUGUAGAAUGGUGAAUAUGGUGCGGCAGGUUGUGUUUUUGAAUGGUAGGGGGGUGGUGCACGAAAUUGUGGCUGAAAACACAUAUUUAUAGCCUAGGGUUUUGACAAAUUCUGAUGGGAAAAGGCUUAGAAUUUUCGGCAAAGGUUUGGGCCUCAAUCCAAGGGGGAAAAGAACUAGGAUUUGUGCAGAUUUUAGGGUUUCUACAAGGGUUUGGGGCGCCACUUUUGUAGGGAAUUCUAGAAACAAUGUUAUGUGGCUGAUUUCUAUAGGAACAAGGCCUAAAAACAUGCAACACCAAUGUAGGAACAGAUAAGGCCUUCUAGAAACACAAACAAACUUUGAAAAUGCAAGAAAACAAGUUAACUAAGUCGCAUAAAUAUGCUCCUAUCAAAGGGCUUGGAGAUAAGCACAUGUGAACUCAGAAUCAGAAUCCAAGCAAACAACAACAAUGUCAAGAUGUUCCACUUUACACAACAGGUCUGAGCUUCAGAUUACAGUUCAAACUAAUGUACAACGAUGCCAUAUAAAAUGAAAGCAAAUGAACAGAAAACAUCUCACGACCAAGUCGGAUAAGAAAUUCAGUGGUUAUAGUGUGUUGAUUCUUCAAGGUCGUGUCUCCAUUACCGAAGUGGCAGAAUUUUGCAUUGCUGAUGAGCUGGUCUUCUGAGCUAUGAGAUUCUGAACUCUCUGGAGCAGGUGGUAGCUGAGUUUCUGCAAAUGGAUUAUCCAGGCUUCCCUUAUCAUCAUCGGGUGGAUCUUCUGGGUCUUUUUUCUCACUCUCUUCGCUAGAACUACCACCACCACCUCCCAUUGAAAUACCUGGAACUAAGUCAGGUCGAGGUUCCACACCAACCCGUCUUAGAUGAAGCUGACCACAUUGCAAACACCAUUUGGAUUAUAAGGUCAUAAAGACUUGUAGAAGCAAAUUAGAGAGGACCAUUUACCUGAAGAUGUAAGUUAACUUCAUCUGGUCGUGACAGGAAUGGAAAAUCUCCCCCAGUCUUCAACUGUGCUCACCUUGCGUUAAGAUACCUUUCGCUAACUUCAUCUUUGAGUUGUUGAGGAAUCUCGCUGUAGUCAUUUGUCUUCAUGUAAAUGUUUCAGGAAGAAAUUUUUGACUGGUCAGCUUAAAUGUUUAAACAUCCCUAUCUAUGGUAUUGCAAGAAGGUUCAGAUGUAUGAACAAACAUGCUAAAGCAUAAAGCUGUAGACAUUCACAUUUAAACAGUGGUUGAAAGAAUCAUAUCCACACCACAGCUGGUCUCUUCAAAACAAUUUAGGAUGAAGAAGUGAAGUAACUCCGAAUCUAGAAAGACAUUUAUCGCAAUGAAUGCAGUGUGACAAAUUUAUUAUGUAACCAAACACUUGUUUCUAGAGGGAUUAUUUGAAAAUGUAUUUGUAUGCACCAACACCAACCAAACCAGAUCCGGAAUACAUACAUCCAUUAUAGUAAUGAAUGAAUCUGUAAGCAACAGCAGUCCAACUAAAGCAGCAUCAGCUGUUAAAGUUAACCUGGGGGCAAGGUCCUCUCUUGAGAGCAUCUCAACCUGAUUUAUCACAGUUCCAAGUCAGAAACUACAACAGCUUGCACAACCAUUCAACUUGUACAAGUAACAAGGACAGCCAUAACGGGUAGAUUGUAAAGGCGUUCACAGACUCUACCUGAGAAACAACAAAGUCGACUGAAUCUGCAAUAAAUGGCUCAUGGGGGCCAUCGUGUAUUCCGGUCAAGACAUAUCUUUUCAACAAAAAAGAAGGGGUCCAACUAAUGCUGCAUAAGACAAUAGCAUAAUCAGGUGACUCAAUCUGUCAAAAGAAAACAAAAUUGGAAGCAAAUUACUCUAUGAACCAAAAAACUAUACAAAUGCCGCAUGCACCUUGUAACAAUAUAAAGAGAAUUUAAAUUCCCAAGGAACAGUAUAUCAUAUCCAAUCAAUAAUUUAAAACAUUUUGAUUAAAAAUUGAUGUACGGUAGAACCUUUCGUUUCUUGUUUUAUUUAAAAAUCAAACAAAAAUAACCAUGAGGAAGGGUGGAUAAAUAGUUCCAAAGAACGUAAUCCCUUAUAAGGAUCGUAUGAAGCGUUUUCUUCACAAGUGACAUUUCAUUAAUAAUGAUGUCACUUUAGAACCCAGAUGAGAUUAGCCACUUGAGAGGGUAAGUAGAUAAUUUAAAUCAACUUGAUCCCUUCAAUCAGAGUGAGGUCAAAUGCUCAAUAUUCCAUGGAAGCAGGGAGAAGUUAAAAGGCUAGAUACUUAUCCUGGUAAUACAUAAUUUAGGUUAUUUGAAAGGAAGAACAGAACUUAAAAAACCAAGAAACAUCAAGCAGUACCAAAGACCGUUACAACCCUUUGCUAGGUCAAUGCAACGUCUGAACAUUUAUAAAACACCGGAACACAGAUGUUGAAAUAAAUAGCUUAACUAUCAACCUCUAUCAAAACCACUCAUUAAAUAUUUGCCAUCUAAUACCUAAUUUUUGAUUUGGCACAACUUAACAGCAUGCCUGUAGCUUUAUCAAUGUGUAAAGUACAAAUAUGACAAACAUACACGGGAGCCCAUGGCAUUGCUGCAGAGAAGUUACGCGUGUCUAAAAAUGUGUUUGAUAGUAUCAAUGACCGAACUCUUGUUGGACGAUGCUGAGCAAAAAGUUGAGCCAAGAAGCCCCCAAGGGCUGUACCAUAGAUAUGUAUCUGUUAGAAAGAAAUUGAUCAGAUUACCUAAAAAAACAUUUUUUUUUUUUUAACUAGAGCCCCCACAAGUAUGAGAAGAUGUUUUGACAUCAAAUAGAAAAUUUCACAAUUCGUUUUAGUUAUAUAUCAAGAUAUGCACUGUUAUGAAGCACAUUUCUCAAGUACAUGAUGUAAUAUUUCAUGGACAGUGGGUUUCCUCUUUCUCUGCUCCGAUCACUUUUCACCAUUUGGAUAGGCAUUUCAUAUCAAGAAAAUCAGCAACUGUUUAAUUAUCUAAUCUAAAACCAAAAACAGAAUAUCAUGGUGCUAAGAAUGAUUUUAUUUAAGGGAUAGUUAACUCUUUGUUUUUAGACAUAGGGAUAGUUUAACUGUAUUCCAUGUAAUAUGUCUGAAAUCCUUCCAAUCGGAUCCAAUUAAAAGCAAUUUUCUAGAUGCAGAAUUGGUGCAAAUUAUUGCAGUGAAUUUACUAUCUGACUAUCAUAUGACCUAGAUACCAAGUUCAAAUCUGUCAGUAUAACCGAAAUCACUACUCAACUACCCACACGCUAGAAAUCAGGGAAUUUAGGAUCUUUCUUUAAUUUCAAAGUACCAAGAGUUCUACACGUGUAUCUGUGAAGCAGGGCGUGGCAGAAAGGCAAUCAGAAAUGUAAUAUUUCCAUCUUGCACAAUCACUAGAAAAGUGCUGAUUCGUGAAGCAUCUUGCUAACAGUAUAACAUGAAGAUGCACCUAAAUAUCAUACGUAUAAUUAAGUAGGGAUAAAAGGUCAUUAAUCACUGAAAGCUGUAUGCAGCAGUUGGGAGCUUCUUAAAGAAAUUAACAAUUUAGAACCGAAAAGCUACUUGUGCAUUGUGAAAAUGAGAAAUUCCUUCAGUGCAAGCAAUAGAAAUACUAAACAAAAUUAGAUUGAUAAUGGCAGGAGUAAACUGUAAGUAAGUGGAGUUCUUACGUGAUGGACAUCAAUAGCAUCCAAGAAUUUCUCAAAUGCUAGAAUCCACUCGUGACGAUUCCAUACACGUGGAAUAUCAACAGAAAUCACCCGAUAACCCUGCAUAUAUUAUAAUUUACUGGUAUUAACGUUUAAUCUAUUAAGUAGAACUUGAGAAGAUUAACCAGAUACAACCAUUCAAAUAGAGGGGUGUUGGACAGAGAGGGGUUGGGAUUGGUAAAUAUAAAUGUUACUGAAAAGUGAAACCUGAGUGCACCGGAAGCACAGAGACCAAAAAUCAGGGCUUAAAGGUCUAGUUAAACAACUGAAUUAUCCAUUUAAAGAUAAUAAAAGGAAAUCAUUAUCUUUCUAGAUAAAAUCCAAAUAUACGGAGAUCGAACAUAUACAAGAGACACCAAAAAGUAAAGAAAAUAUGCAUGGAAUAAAUUUUUCAGCCAAAAUCUUUGACUCUAAAUGCAAGUUGCUGAUUGUUUGCAACAAAACAACUAAACAGAAAAAAAUAAAGCUCAGUGGACCAUGAAAACCGGAAAGUAUAGUCAAAGUGCCUAUGACGCAAAAGAAAACGAAAAUCAAAUACUAAUAUGCUUUGGAAAGACUUAUGUGAUACAUACAAUGAAGAUUACAUGAAGGCCAGCCAACUACCUUCAUGGACAAUGACAUGAUCUGCUUGUAGCAGACAUCAGCUAUCCCUUCUGUUCCAGGAAGACAAAUAAGAGGAGGUACUGCUUUCGGGCCAAAAUCAUAGUAUCGCCACUGCUUCGUGCCAAUCUGCAUACACAGUAUUUCAAAGUAAACCCAAUUAUCAAUAAGAAAUCAGAAAUAAGAAGAAACCUACUUAUCAACACACCUAAAAUUGACUAAUCAUGUAGCUUUACAGCUGAAAAAGGUUACAUACAUAGAAGCUCCACAUGCAGAACCUCAACUCACAAUUGAGCAAAUUAGAAAAAACCCCACAUCAAAAUUCACAAACUUGAUACAAACCCAUGUCAUAAUACAGUUGAAAAUACAAAACUAUGCACAAACAUAGGAACUAUCUUACAAUUGGGUUUUCUAAAAAGGUAAGACUAAACCCAAAAGAACAAAAAAUGCAGCAGUAAAAUCAAACUAAAGAAUCAAACCCAGAACAAAAUCACAAAAAAAUGGAGAAAUUCGAAAGGGUAAUGGAGAAGUGGAGGUGAAAAGAAACGUACUGGGAUCUUGUGAAGAGGGACCUGGGACUUGAAGUAGAUGUAAUCUCCGGGCGGCGAGUAGACGCCAUUCAUUGCUGGUUUUCUACGCCCCCAAAACCUCUCCUUGUCAUACAUACCUAUAAUUCGAUUUGAUCUUACUGAUCGAUCACUCUCUUUCUCUUUCUCUUUCUCUCUCGAUUUUUCUAUUAUUUUUCUAUAUAUUUGCUGGGUUGGGGUUUGGUUGUUCGUCCUCGUUGUUUCGGAUUUUCUUUGAAAUUUUAAUUUUGGGGAUUGACCAGUUGGGGGUGAAAGGGACGCCACGUGGCUGGGCCCCCACUAUGACAGUCCAUGACUCAACGGUUCGUCAACAGCUUGUGGUUGUAGUUGAAUUUUUUCUUCUUUUGUUUAUUUGAUUUUUGGAUUUUUUUGUUUUAUAAAUGCAUGGGUUAAUUGCAUUAUCAAUAUCUGAGAUUUAUUGAGUUUUUAAUAAAACCUCAUCACUUUUGAGACAUUACACUAACAUCCCUUAAAUUUCAAUUCGCUUUUACAGAACCCUCCCAUCAUAGCACACCUUCAUCCCUUUCCUCCCACCAUAGCACACCUUCAUCCCUUUCCUCUUCCCUGCCCACCCUCUUUGAAAAAAAUUUGGAGGGAUUCUUUGUACUGUGCAUGAAUGCACCGUACAUGGUCCAGAACAUAAUGGAGCAUUCCCAAAUUCACAGUCACCAUUUUAUAGAGAAACCCAGAAAUUCAAACACCAAAAUUUUCACCAAACUUGAGUUUUUUUUUUUAUCAAUUUGAACAACACCCAUAUGAGAUUAUAUGUAAUUUUUCAGAAACAUAGAAAAACCAAAAUCCAAAAUGUUGGGAAAAAAAAAUUUGUGAAUUCUGUUGCAAAAAUUAGAUAACCAAAAUUAACCUCAUGAAGUCUUGAAUUGUGCUCGCAAGUAUAGGAAUCAAAUGACAGUAUAGCACAUAAGCACGGAUAUCGUCCCACAGAAAUCAAAUUUAUUCUAAAUAUUUUUACUAACUAAAUUGAAAAAAAAAAGUAUAAUUGAUAUAUUGGUCAUAAAUCAUUGUGGAAGGAAUCAAGAAAUUGAAAUAAGGAAACGUAAGUAAUGAUAGUUAAUUAAACUAGUGUUUAGCUGGACUUAUCCCAGAUAAUUAUUUCCGAAAAUAAAUAAUGCAGGAGUAAAGCGUUAUAGAUUGUGCAUUUUACGCCACAUUAUAUAUAUAUAUAUAUGUAUGUAUAUAUUGGAAAAAUACUAUGAUAUGGUUGAGUUUUAGAUUUGCAUUAUGGCAUAUCCAUAUGUAUAUUUCCUGCACAUAAUUAUUGUGAAUGCUUUGAAGUGCGAAGGUGAACGCAGAACACACAAGUAAGUUCAAGUGAGUUAGGGUAUUAGUUGAAAUGAUUGAGUUAUGGCAUGAUCACAUUUAUGUUUUAGGCAACUCCGACAUUGUCAUAUAGGUUGCCAAUGAGUGGUAUAUGUCAUAUGAGAUUGCUUUAGUUAUGCGAAAUAUGAUGAGAUGCAUUUAGAGCUCAAAAACAUGCACCCUGGUGUUAGUGCUCCUGCCCGUGGCCAGGGUACAGUCCUUCGCGUGAUGUUCACCUCCCACACCUUACGCUCACCUUGGAUCCAAGGUAGGUAUACAGUCCUGUUGUACAGACCACUAUAGGUGGUUCCGACUCAUAGAUGACCUGCGAUUAUUCGCACAGUCUUCACAUGAUCGUAGCACUUGAGCGUAUUUAUUUACACCCAGUCCUGUUGUACAUACCACUUUAGGUGGUUCCGACUCAUGUGUAGGUAUACUUAUUGAGCUAUGGAUAAGUCGUACAGGUCACUAGAGGUGACUCUGACUUAUGAGCUAGCAUAUGUGAUGAAAUAUGUGAUGAGCUAGCAUAUGUGAUGAGAUAUGUGAUGAGCUAGCAUAUGUGAUGAAAUAUGUGAUGAGCUAGCAUAUGUGAUGAGAUAUGGGUAAGUCAUACAGGUCACUAUAGGUGACUCCGACUUAUGAGUUAACAUCGAUUGAUGAGAUAUGGGUGCAGUCGUACAUGUCACCAUAGGGUGACUCUGACUUGCAUGUUAGUAUAGGUUAUUAAUCACAUGAUUAUUGAUAUUGCUGAUGAGAUGCUGUGUUGUGGUAUAUUUAUGAUUUCUAGAAACUAUACAGGUGUUGUAGCGAGGGCUUAUAAUGUUUUAUAUGGUUUAUAUUAAAAUUUUAUUUCCAGGGCCACUCACCCUUGUUUGGUUUUCACCCUCCAGGUUUUAUUAGCUGAGCUUUCUUAUCGUCGAGGAUUCAUGGCAAGUCUUGGUAUUGGAGAUUACCUUUGAUGGUAUGAUUUAUGAUUCUUAAUUCACUCUACUGUGCUUACUUAUGCUCUAACGUCACGUGUGAAGGGGGUUCAUUCCCGCUCACCAGCGCACUCUGGUAUUUAGGCACUCUUAGUUUAAAUUUAUUCACAUUUUUCCACAUCAUCACACUUUAUGGCAUCGUUACCUUCUAGGUGUCGGCCAUCACAGCUCGAUUCGGAGUCCUAGUGGACAUUUCGGGUCGGGGUGUGUCAUAAAAUAACCCCAACCAUGAGAUAACUUUCAAGAAAUAAAUAACAAUAGUUCAAAACAUUAUCCAAGAGUUAACCAAAUUUGAAUGAACCAACUUGGAGUGUAAUGUGUGUAAUAGCCAUGUGAAUGCAAUUGCAAGCUUCUUAAAUCAUCAUAUGCAAACAAGUGAGCUUCUCACAAGGUAUACACUCAUUCAUUCAUAUUUAUGGGUUAAUGUGUUUCACUCAAACAAUCUCACAAAAUAUGCCGUCAUAUGUUUUACUUGUCCACCUAACUCGUUAUCAAUAUCAUGUAACUUUUUGCAUCAAAAGGUCUUUUACAGGGUUACAAUGGAGCCGAGGAUUAAUGGCUACACAAAAAAUGGAAUGGAACAACAAAGAUCUAAGAAAUUUGUAGAGAACUCCAAAUUUUUCCUCUUAGAGAGAAAUUCAAAUAACUUGAAAGCAAUUAGAACUUAAGCACAACUUUACAGGUUUUUUUUUUCUUUCUCUUUUCUUCUUUUUUUCAUACAUUUUUUUUUACGGCACCACUUUCUUUUUAAAUCAAACAUUUCUUUUUCCUUUCAUUUCAUCAUUUAUUUUCUUUUCUAUCAAAAUAUUUAGCCCAUAACACUUUGAACUCUCUAUCUUCUUAAAGAAUUACUCUACAAGCUCUUUCGACGGUUACGAGAUUUUUUACAAGGUUACGUAGAAAAUAUUUAGGUUAAACAAAACAAGAAAGGCACACAUAAAGGCUCAACGGGGCUAACUAGGAAAAAUAAUAAUAAGGGUUGACUAAAAAGUGUCACAGCCCGUCCCGAAUUAUUUUAUCAUCAGUGUGAAAUGUCUAUUUUGCCCUUGGACAUUGAGGUGUGUUGUGUGUGACAUGCUUUUAGAGGUGGACCAAUAUGAUAAAUUCCUAAGUUUUUGGACCGAAUUAGAACUUAAACUUUUGUUUGUUUUGGUUGGUAGCCCAAACUAGGACCACACACUCAUACCCAAUUAACCCGUUGACUCUCUCUCUCUUCCCUCUCUCGGACUUCUUUCCAUUUCCGUACAAUUGUACGGACAAACUUCAAACCUUCACUUCCAAUCACGGAUCAAGGCUGUGAAAGGUGGUCUUCGUGUUCUUUGUGAGCUCAGGAGCUCAUCCAUACCCUUAGUUGGACGUAAAAACUUCGAAAACCCGAAAACCUGAAAACCAGAGAACCCCGAUCGUGAACACUGUUCAUGUAGUCGUAAAUGUGGACCUUUCAGCGAGUUUUAAGGUCAUAGGAAGCCUUAAAACAUCUUCACGAAGCUCGGGGAGUAACUUGGUUGAUUUGGACGUCGGGAGGCUUAGGUUCGACGAGUUGCAAAGGUAGCCGGAUUAUCAUGCCUUUUUCCGGCAAGAUCCUGUGGAUUUUAGGGAUUAAAAUUGGUAAGGUUUUGUUCUAGUCGUGGUAAGCUUCAUUUUGGUUUAAGUUUCAUGAAUUUUGGUUGAGAAAUGAAGAAGAUAUGAACUUUAGACAUUUUCUCCAGUUUCUGGCAACGGUGACGGAAUCCGGUGACUCGCCGGAGAAGAAGACAAAUAUUCCGUCAACUUUGACAGAAUAUUCCUAAUGGUGAUUAAUAGCGUCAGGUAUAAUUAACAGUAUAUACUUAUAUUUAAUGGAAUAUUCCCUAACGCCUUUAGGGAAUCCGUUUGGCGUGCCAGGCAUGUGCUUACUUGUGGGCCGUGUGUCUGGCCAUGCCUUGGCCGGCGCGUGAGGGCGCGUGGGUGCUUGGAAAUUUUUUCUAAAAAUAUGGGGAUGUUCGUGGUGUUGAGUAGAUCACGUUGGUUUAUUCAAACACCCCAUUUGAGUAUUGUAUGAGAAGUUAUUUCCUAGUUUUGAGUAUGUGCUUUAAAUAACGUUUAUUUAAUUAUUUCACAUAUAGGUGAGACCUAUCCGGAGGACGAGCGCCAUCAAUCAAGGCUCGGGCGCUACGACCCUUCGUCAUAUCAGUGAAUGGGCUUUUGAUUUUCCGUAUAUACCUAUAUACUUGAGAUUUUUCCCAGAAGAUGAAUUUUAAUGAUCAUACGUUUUGAAAUGCCGUGCAAAGUAUCUGCCUAUUUUAUUUAUGCAUUAGUAGUUGCAUAUAUUUAUUAUUGGUGUUGCAGACGCACAGGUAAGUGCCAGGUAAGUUCAUAAAUUCAAGAUAUGAGAUUGCUUCAGUUAUGCGAGGUAUGAUGUGAUGUAUUGAGAGCUCAUAAACUUGCACCCCGGUGUUAGUGCUCCAGCCCAGAGUUAGGGCACAGUCCUUCACGUGAUGUUCACCUCCCGCACCAUAUGCUCACCUUGGAUCCAAGUUAGGUUCACAUGCUUGUCGUACAGACCACUUUAGAUGGUUACGACUCGUAGGUGACCCGCGAUCAUUCGCAUCGUCUUCACGUGAUCGUAGCACUAGAGCAUAUUUAUUUUACACCUAGUCUUGUCGUACAGGCCACUUUAGGUGGGUCCAACUCGUGUGUAGGAUUUGAUAUGAUUGAGAUUGCUUAUGAGCUAUAUACUCAUCCGUGCAAGUAACGUUAGUUGGAUUCAGCUGAUAUGAUAUAUGACAUUGAUAUAUUUUAGUUAGAUUACUUAUGGCAUUUCAUUGAGAUACUUUGGCAUGGUAUAUUUCUAUGGAUUUUGUCCUAAGCAUGAUUUCUGAAAUAGCAUAUAUUAUAUUUCUAGGAAAUUAUAUAAGUUUUACGGUGAGGGGUUAGAACUUUUGAGAAAUGAAAUGAUUUUGAAAAGCUUUUUUUAUACCCAUUCAUACUUUCUGUUUUGCGCCCCUCUAGGUUUUAGGUAGAAGUGCUUGGUGGCUCACGGGGAUUUCGACGGUGGUUCUGACAGAACAUCUAAAAUGUAGGAUCACCUUUGGGUGUAGUAUAAUAAGUACUUGUCCAGUCGGACUGCAUUUAGGCUAUUUUUGUAUAUUUCACACUUAAUCUCGCACUUGCACCUUAUCUUAUCUAUUACUCUAGUUGAAUUGGUUUUUGUUGAUUCACAAUUCCUUAUUUCUUCAUUACUUCUGCACUGUGCACAUGGUUACGUCACCUUCACGUGACGACCAGCAUGCCUCGAUUCUGGUCGGGGUGUGUCAAAAAAGUGUUGGAAAUGUGCCCUAAAACCAAUCAUGUGAUGAUAUUUUACGGACAUUUCACAUGUUAAACUAAUCUAGUUUAAUAUCAAGGGCAAAGAUUAUUGUUUUAAGCCAUCUCAUAUAAAUGUUAUAUGCUUAAACGAUAAGUCCAAAGAAUAUGUAAUUUAAACAAGUUAGAUUUAUAAGACCAUUCUCUUUCGUAUACAUAUCCUAAACGUUCAUGAUCAUAGGAUUGCCAAUUGGGCAUUGACAGUCCGUUAAGAUCAGUACGUGUUGUGUCUUCUCUCAUGGAGAGUGACUAGUCUCGAGUCAUUGGUGUGAUUGACACCAAGACAAGCAUGUAGGUGCUCAAUAGCGAAUGAGUCCACUAAACACGAUCAACGAGGAGUUCUCAUACUUAUGUCACAUGAGAACUCAUGGUUGGGAUAAUGCAAAGUAGUCCUUUGACCUGAGGCAUUAUGGUUGUCUUGUGGUUAAGUCCUUGAUCUUUGACUAUGUCAAAGUUACUCCAUCAGAGGGUGUCCACGACAUAGUUGGGGUUAAGCUACUUAGCCAUGGAGGCAAGUGAAUGAGCAACAAGGGAUCUCUAACCUUCAAACCGUUUGAGGGAGAAUACUCUAUGAUAUGAUUAAGGAUCUCUUGCCAGAGUAUGAAUGAGAUUUAGGAAGUCAUUCCAAAUCACAUUCAAGGUAAUCAUAUAAGUAAAUGAAUCACAUUGGAUAGUAGACAUGAAUAAACUAUCAAUCCAAAUAAUGUGGUCAAGAGUAUUGUAUUAGAGAAAGACCGUAUUGUAUUGUAAUCCUAAACUGAAUAGGUUCUCCACCUCUUCUGAUUAGCUUGGGUAACCAUGACAUACUGCUAGGUGUCACUCAUGGUUUGUGGAAGCCCUAAACGUGUAUAAUCACUAAAGGGAGAAUUGAAAGUAAGUUUCAAUUCACAAUCGAUUUGAAAGAGUUCUAAUUGCCCACUGCCUCGCUAAAAGGAACCUAAUGGAUCGUACACCGUGUAAGGUAAAGAUUGAAGAAACAACGGAGAUGAGUAAGAAUAAUUAAAUGGUUUAAUUAUUUAUGGCAAGGAUUAAUUAAUAUGUUAAUUAAUCAAACGAAUAAAGUUCGUUGAAAGACCUAGGGUUAGUUUUGGGUCUUAAGGCCCAAUGGGCUUUGAACGUCAAGCCCAUUGACUUAAGUUGUAUGACAACUUAAUGACUAAAUAUUCACAAAGGCCCAAACAACCCAAUAACACCCUAUGGCCGGCCAUAUUGAUAAUGGAGUGGGUUUUGGACUUAUUACAAGUUUGCCACUCCAAUGAAGGUAGGUAUAAUAUGACUUUAUAGCCUUUUCUUCAUUAGGGUUUCUUUUGGGAGAAAAGAUGAGAACGAAAGCUCUCUUUGCUCUCUAAGAGGCCGGCUACCCUAGAGGAACAUAGCUAGCAAUCUUACUUCCUCUAGGUCACUCAUUUCUUCAUCAAUCUUUCCUUGGUGUGGAGACUUAGAGGUUCUCAACUUUGAGAACUUGGAGAAACCAAUUCUUCCAUCCAAAUCCAUGGAGCUAAGAAGCAAGGAAUGAAGGCCCUAUCUCUUGGGUGAUUAUCCUUUGCUUAUGCAAAGAGGAAUCAACAAAGGUAUAAUUUCUCAACUCACUUUGUUUUGAGUUGAGUCUUGGUUCACCUAACUACUAGGCUUUGAAUUUAAUGGGUAAUGUUUUGUUUUGAGUGCAUGCAAGCAUGAUUCCACCUUUAAUUUGUUAAUUGCAUGCUAUAGAUGUUGCUCAAAUGAACAUGUUUUUCACAAAAUUUCCUUAAAAGCUCAAACAAAAGAAGAAAUAAAAAAUGUCUAUGUCAUUUCCAAUAUUUUACAUAAAUUGAUGGAUGCAAAGAGAGGUAUAAAACAAGUUCUAGAGAUAAUAAAAUGAGAUCAUAUGCACAAGAAUAAAUGAGAUUGAUGCAUAAUGGUUCAAUCAUAAAUAGGCUAAAAAAUAUGGUUAAAACAAAAAUAAUGUAAAGAACUAACGCCAAACUUAAAUUUCUUGAAAAUUAAAAGAAAAUUAAGAAUUAAUCUCAUAAUUGAAUUGGGAAGUAGCUUGCCAACAAAAACAAGACUCGACAAAAUAAAACGUUUUUGGAAUUUUUGAAAGUUUAUAUUUUUUUAUGUGGUUUUUUUUUUUUUUUUUUUUUUGGAAAACUUCAUUUUAAUCCUUAAAAAAGAUGAGUUUUAGACUAUAACAUUGUGUAAGAUUAAAAUCCAAUUUUAGUCCCUGGUACAUGUAAUCAUCUCAUUUAUUAUUUAUAUUUUGAUGUUUUAUUUAUCUUUUUCUUUCUUUUUAAUGUAUUAAUUACAUUUAAAUUUAAUUUUCAUUUCAUUCAUUUUAAUAUAUUUUAAUGUCUAAUUUAGGCAAACUAAUUUUUUUUUAAAAUAUAUUAUGAUGACAAUUUUGUAUGUUCUUCAUAUAGGUAUAUUAAUACAUUUGAAUAUUUCGGUAUAUCCUUCGAUACAAACAUAUAGAUACAUUAAUUCAAUAUAAUGCAUUUUGGUACGUAAUUUUGGUACACACAUUUGGGUAUUGACUUUUAGGCACAUUAAUUCAAUAUACAAUAUUUUGGUACAUACAUUUUGGUACUUGCAUUUCGGUAUAUAAAUUUAGGUACAUUAAUUCAAUAUAAUACAUUUCAGUACAUACAUUCAGGUUUAUUAUAAUAUAUUUCGGUACAAACAUUUCGGUACAAAGAAGUCAAUUUUAUAUAUUUUGGUAUAGUCAUUUUUGUACACUUGGCUAUUUACAUAUUUUGGUAUCACAAAUUUCUAUUAAUAUUUUCUCAUUUAUGUUCAUAUAAAAGAACUAAAUAUGUGUAUAUUAAUUAAAUUAAAAUUUAAUGUGGAGAGAGUAAAUAAUAAUGGACAUUAAAUAACAAAAUUGAAUAUAAAUUGUAAUAAAAGUACAUUUCAAGGGAUUAAAUUGAAUAUGUAAUCUAGUACUAGGUUUUUUUUUUUUUCAUUUUCAUUUUUUACAAGAACUAAUGUUCAAACCCCCCCCCCCCAUUUUUUAGAACUAAAACGAAAUAAAACUAAAAAACAACUAAGAAUAACGAAAGAAAAUUAAUAAAUAAAUUAAAAAAAGAACAACCUAACUUAGCUAGCUAACUAAUUAGGGGGCCUUUUUUUUUGAAUAAAUUUUUUGUAGAGAUGGAUUAGACAAGAUUAGUGAUCACUCAUAUAUUUCAUGCAUUUAUAUGAUUCAUUUCUAAAGUCUUUGGAUGUUUUUGUGUUAAAAUUGUGACAUUUUACCUUACUUUGUGUUAAUGUACAGUUAAUUUUGUUGUAGGAUUAAUUUCAAACGCAGAAAAGAAUAGAGAAAAGACAGAGUGCAACACGGCAUUAAACAAAGGAAGGGAGUGGACUAUCAAGAAAUUGAAUAAUAAAAGAGGAAGGGGAGAGACUUGCGGACUGUGCGGAGAAAGAAGAAUAAGAAAAUAAAUAAGUGGGAGACAUGGAAUGAUGGAAAAAAAAAAGAAGAAACAUAAAGAAAGGAAUGGUGGAGGAAAGAAAGAAGAAGCUAAUGGACGGAAAAGAAGCAGCAAAGCUGCCAGCGAAAAAGGAAUAAAAAAAAAGGAAAGAAGGAGAAGAGAAAGGACGAGGAGAAGAAGAGCUGCCUGGCGCAGCGUGAAGUCGGCACAGAGAAAAACAAAAGGCACCAAGCUGCCUUAGGCAGCGAGAAAGAAAGGAGAGGAAUUCAAAAGCUGCCUUGCAGCGUGUAUCCAAUCAGAGGAGGCGUGAGCCUCGGGGGAGAUUAGCAGUGCGCACAGAAAACAGAGGGCGCUGGGCAGACAGAGCACUGAAGCACUCUCCUCUUUCGGUUAAAUCUUUCCAAACUUAUAUUUUAUUUCUGUUUUAAUAAUGUGUAACUAAAUUUAUUUUGGCUAGAGGUUAAUUCAAAGCCAUGAAUAUAUUUGUAAUAUGAAUUGAUUACCUUCAGUUGUGAUUUCUGAGUUGUGAUUUAAUUUGCUUAACUGCUUGAUUGAUAACUUAUUCUUGUAUGUCGAUUAAGAAUGCAUACUUAAUUUUACAUGCAUGAAUUUGAUGCUAGAAAUAUAAGUGAAUUUCACCUAAUCGUUAUGAACUUAUGAGUAGUGAAGGUUGUUAUCCACAAUCGUGUUAAGUGAAUUCUUGGCAAGAGUAUCAUGCUUUUCAUAGUUACGAAUGCCUCGUCAAUGCUUAUAGUUUUCACAAAGUUUAAUGAUCUUUGAUUGUAUCUCUAUUGUGCUUUUCACGUAGGGGACUUUUGAAGAAUGUUUUGAAUUGUUGUAUGCGUUUUUCCGUCCAAUUCAAUAACUUAAGGAAAACUUGAAGAUUAAAAAAGUGCUGUUCACGGUUUAAUCUGAAGUAUUGAGAUUUACAAUUUAUUGAAAGAACAACUGAAAAUCAAUUUAGGUUGCAUAUGUGUCAUGUGUGGAGAAGAACCCUCUAGCUAGUCCAUCACCUAUCCUUUCACCUUAAUUUCAUGCUUUUGUCAAUUCUGUAAUUUAUUUAAGUUUAAUUUACUUCUCGUCAAAACCAAACCCCCCCCCAUUAUUAAAUUAUAUUAUUUAGUUAGUUUUCAUUGUUGUUAGUCUUUUAAUUCAAUUUCCGUCCAUUUCAGUUCCUAAUGUCUAAUUUGAUUGUUUUCAUUAUUUUGAGUCAUUCUAAGUGUGUUUCGAGUUAUUAGAGUUUUUAGCCUAGUUUUGUGUCCUUGAGUCUUGUUUAAUAUUUUUAAAUUAAUUUAGAAUAGAUUAGCAAUCCCUCCUAAUCCCCGGCCUAGAACGAUACCCUACUUACAUCUAUACUACAAUUGUCAAAAAGAGGGUUAAAUUUGUGUGCUUAUAUAUUUCGCAUCAAUUAGCUCGUCGUCAACAGUCGUGUUCGAGGCACCAACCCUCUCCCGAAGGAGAAAUGACCGUUGCACCCAUAAACCCCCUCUCAUCCCCCCUCUACUAGAUUUUAUUAAUAAUAUGAAGAAAAAAAAUGAAAAGUAAAACAAGCGGGGGGGGGGGGGGACUAAGCCAAUACCCGUUGAAAACAAUUAAUGAAAGUGAUAUGGUCUAGUUUACAACUUCUUCAGCUUCAGCCACUUGAAAUUGAUUUCCCAUAAUUCCGCUGCUCCUAUUUCAUUGCCAAAGCCCACUUCCACAACAACAAUUGGCUCCUUAUGACUUUGAACGAAAGAAUGGAAGCCCGAAACAGUCUCUUUUAUAAAACUCAUCAGCAAAAUCGGGUACCAAGUCCCACCACAUAAAACUACUGUUCAUUACACCAAAAUUAGCAAAAGUAUCCGCAAACAAUUCUCUUCCUUGAAAAUAUGCGAAAAACGCAAGCACAAGCAACUUUAAGAAACCAUGGAACAUCCAUGGAGUGAGUUGCUACUAGGCUGAUGACAUGCAUAAAAUCUGUCUAUAACCAAAUGUUAUGCCAUUCUUUAUCCCAUGAAAUUUGAAUUGCCUCGAUCACAGCCACAAUCUCCACAACAACUAUACUUGGAUAAGAAGAUGAGGAGGCAAACGCUCCUAAAAAAAGAUCAUUGGAGUCACAAAAAACACCACCACUACCCACCUAACCAUUCCCUUUACAAGACUCGUCUAUGUUAAUCUUAAUCCACCCAACAAGAGGAGAACGCCAAACCAUAGGCACAAAACUAAGAGUAUCUAAAAGAAAGGGAUGAAAUUCUUGACAUGGAGAAUAUGGGAAUCGAUACACAACUAGUGAAAGAGGAAAACGAAGUAGAAGCCGAAUCCUUCCAAUGCCGUAAAAGACGACGUUGGGAUGCAAUAUCUCACACCCCGACCCACGAAUAAAGACUAUUCACGAGUUAGGAUGUGAGCCAUAUCUUAACUAUAGAAAUAAAUUCUACAACCAAGAUAUGGUGGAAAAUAAAAUAAAAUUACAACAAUUACACCGUACAACAUAUAACAAAAUCUUACAUAAAAUUUUUCGAAUACGCGAUGGAAUAACAAUAAUACACAAAUUAAUUCACAACAAAAACUACAAUAAUUAAAUUGUAACAAUUCUUUCAAAUGCAUAUAUGCAAGUGAGAUGCAUGAAACAUAUGCAAAUGAGAUGGAUGAAUGUACUGUUGGAAAUGUGCCCUAAAACCAAUCAUAUGAUGAUACUUUACGGACAUUUCACAUGUUAAACUAAUCUAGUUUAAUAUCAAGGGCAAAGAUUAUUGUUUUAAGCCAUCUCAUAUAAAUGUUAUAUGCUUAAACGAUAAGUCCAAGGAAUAUGUAAUUAGGAGAAUGUAAUUUAAACAAGUUAGAUUUAUGAGACCAUUCUCUUUCGUAUACAUAUCCUAAACGUUCCUGAUCAUAGGAUUGCCAAUUGGGCAUUGACAGUCCGUUAAGAUCAGUACGUGAUGUGUCUUCUCUCAUGGAGAGUGACUGGUCUCGAGUCAUUGGUAUGAUUGACACCAAGACAAGCAUGUAGGUGCUCAAUAGCGAAUGAGUCCACUGAACACGAUCAACGAGGAGUUCUCAUACUCAUGUCACAUGAGAACUCAUGGUUGGGAUAAUGCAAAGUAGUCAUUUGACCUAAGGCAUCAUAGUUGUCUUGUGGUUAAGUCCUUGAUCUUUGACUAUGUCAAAGUCAUUUAGUCAGAGGGUGUCCACGACAUAGUUGGGGUUAAGCCACUUAGCCAUGGAGGCAAGUGAAUGCGCAACAAGGGAUCUCUAACCUUCAAACUGUUUGAGGGAGAAUACUCUAUGAUAUGAUUAAGAAUCUCUUUCCAAAGUAUGAAUGAGAUUUAGGAAGUCAUUCCAAAUCACAUUCAAGGUAAUCAUAUAAGUAAAUGAAUCACAUUGGAUAGUAGACAUGAAUAAACUAUCAAUCCAAACAAUGUGGUCAAUAGUAUUGUAUUAGAGAAAGACCGUAUUGCAUUGUAAUCCUAAACUGAAUAAGUUCUCCACCUCUUCUGAUUAGCUUGGGUAACCAUGACAUACUACUAGGUGUCACUCAUGGUUUGUGGAAGCCCUAAACGUGUAUAAUCACUAAAGGGAGAAUUGAAAGUAAGUUUCAAUUCACAAUCGAUUUGAAAGAGUUCUAAUCACCCACUGCCUCGCUAAAAGGAACCUAAUGGAUCGUACACCGUGUAAGGUAAAGAUUGAAGAAACAACGGAGAUGAGUAAGAAUAAUUAAAUGGUUUAAUUAUUUAUGGCAAGGAUUAAUUAAUAUGUUAAUUAAUCAAACGAAUAAAGUUCGUUGAAAGACCUAGGGUUAGUUUUGGGUCUUAAGGCCCAAUGGGCUUUGAACGUCAAGCCUAUUGACUUAAGUUGUAUGACAACUUAAUGACUAAAUAUUCACAAAGGCCCAAACAACCCAAUAACACCCUAUGGCCGGCCCUAUUGAUAAUGGAGUGGGUUUUGGACUUAUUACAAGUUUGCCACUCAAUGAAGGUAGGUAUAAAUAUGACUUUAUAGCCUUUUCUUCAUUAGGGUUUCUUUUGGGAGAAAAGAUGAGAACAAAGCUCUCUUUGCUCUCUAAGAGGCCGGCCACCCUAGAGGAACAUAGCUAGCUAUCUUACUUCCUUUAGGUCACUCAUUUCUUCAUCAAUCCUUCCUUGGUGUGGAGACUUAGAGGUUCUCAACUUUGAGAACUUGGAGAAACCAAUUCUUCCAUCCAAAUCCAUGGAGCUAAGAAGCAAGGAAUGAAGGCCCUAUCUCUUGGGUGAUUAUCCUUUGCUUAUGCAAAGAGGAAUCAACAAAGGUAUAAAUUUCUCAACUCACUUUGUUUUGAGUUGAGUCUUGGUUCACCUAACUACUAGGCUUUGAAUUUAAUGGGUAAUGUUUUGUUUUUGAGUGCAUACAAGCAUGAUUCCGCCUUUAAUUUGUUAAUUGCAUGCUAUAGAUGUUGCUCAAAUGAACAUGUUUUUCACAAAAUUUCCUUCAUGUACUCACUCCCUUCUAAUCCCAUCAACACAGACCUAAGGCACCCAAGCUUGCACAUCCCAUACCAUGCUUAUACUACUUGGCACCGAAUACCUUAGAAUAUGAGUUAACUCUCGGUCAUCCCUUAAACCCAAUUUUUGUAAUUAAACUCUCAGUUUCCACUUUAUUAAACAGGCACUUCCCCCGACGCCCAAUUGUAUAUUCAAGCCCUUCCCUCGACGCCUGACAUAUACAAGAUUUCAUUAUUUUAUAAUCAACUAAUUUGUAUACUCAAGCCCUGCACCCUACGCCUGACAUAUACAAUGUUCACUAUUUUAUAUUCAAGGAAAACUUCAACCCUUGAAUAUCCUCACAACUCAAACACUUUACAAGAUAUGUCAUGUGCACAUAGAUAUCAAUACUCUCUUUUCUCCAUGUCUUCCGUUAGUUCUUUGCUCCUUCCUUGAUAAAGAUUGCAUGGCAUCUUCAUCUCCAAAAUAUCUCCCAAGUGUGCCAAUAGAAAGAAACCAAAUGUUGUGCUAAUCAUUACCAUAAAAUGUGUUCCAAUAACAAGGCAACAAAUGUUGUUCUAAUGAUUAAGAAUGAUAAAUGUUCAAGUGGCAAAGCAAUAAGUGUCUAGUUAGUUAUGAACAAAUGAAUAUCAUGCAAGAUGUUCCUUGCAUCAAAGCCCAUAUCCAAACUCUAAGGAAUAUGAAUCACACCCGUUGUCACCUCAUUGGAAGAUUUGGAACAAAAUUGAAUAGAGAAUAUUGUAGCCAAAUGAUUAAGAUUCCUCUUAGCCUUGUGAAUGAACACUCUAAAACCACAAAAUAUUGCCAACUCAUGCACUUAGACACACGUAUAAGCCAAAGGCUUCCCACCUCCACAUUUAGAGUGGUGAAUGUGAUUAAGAUUCCUAUAGAUUGAUGAGUAAGCACUUUUAAUUCCUCAAAGUGUUGCCACCUACAUGCAAAUAGACUAACAUACACAUGCUAUAGACUCCACCUCUUCACCCUAAUUAUUAGAUUCUAUUAAUUACCAACUUCCGCCUCAACCUAUCUAGAGUAGUGACUAACUCCUCUUUAUUCUCUAAUGGUUGCCAACCACUUUGUGAGAAAAGUAAAGCCAAACUCAUCAUAGUCCCCUUCUCCAAUUCAAACUAAAAUAUCUCUAAUUACAUAUGAACAUGAAAUACUACUAACUAGUUUUUGAAAUAAUUUGAAGCAAAAAGGAUUUUACAUUGAAACUAUUUUACAUAUCGAAAGUAGGUUAUUGCAUAAAAGAAAUAUAAUAAAAUCAUUACGUAAAAAUAAUUACCCAACAUACACCCAUAUAUAUAUAUACACCAUUUUUUCUUAAAUACGGGGUAUUACACGAUAGUACUUAAACCUGGUUUGGUUCCUUUUUUGCUAAAGCCACCAAAAGAAAUUGCAAAUAACCAAGAACCAAAGUUUCCGAAUAGAUGUGGAGAAAGAUGAACCUGUACAAAAUAAAGCAUCAGCCAUGUACUUAAUCGGCAAUGGAGUCUUCAUAAUCUUCUCUAAAAGAUGAGGAAAAGAAGAAGUAAAGGCAAUGGGAAGAGACCAUUUUGCAUCCUGAAUAAAAUCUUUUACCUUAGAAUUCAAAGGAAUUAUGUCAACCUCAUCAAUACUAGAGAGCAAAGGGAUUCCAAGCCAGUUAUGAUAUAAAAAAAGAAAUUUUACGGCCAUCACCAACACUCUAUUGAAGGGAACUAUAGAAAGAGGGCCACACUUGUUUAAGCCCCAACCAAACGAAGGACUUCUUAUAAGAUUCUAGCAAAUAAAAGUUGUCCUUAAGAAAUCUGUUACGUAAACAAUCCGAAGCUGGUGAGGAAAAAGAAAUUACAGUUUAACAUCUUUUAAGAAGGAGAGAACGAUUAGAUUAAAAAAGAUCACGGAUACCCAAACCACCUUCCUCUUUCAACUUGCAACAAGAACUCCAAGCUAUUAGAGGCAUACCUCGUUUUAACAGAUCACCUGACCAAAAGAAAUUUCUAAUCCACCCUUGAACCUCACGUAGUAAAUUAGUAAGCUAAGCAUAAAUUUGAAAACUAUAAACCAAGAUUCCCUGCAUUACUGAAUUAAUAAGUUGGAGUCUCCCCGCUUGUGAAAGCAAAGAACCUUUCUAAGCCGUCAACUUGCAACGAAUCUUAUCAACAAUGGCUUGAAAAUAGAUCAUUUUUAGACAAUCCUGAAAGAUGGGAACACCUAGAUAAGUAAAAAGCAAUUUUCCUUGACUUACACCAAGAACCUUUUGAAUAAUUGUACGCCGAAUGCUUGCAUAUUUCCCAAGAAAAGCUAAAGAUUUUGAUUUAUUUAUACACUGCACAGAAUUCAAGUUGUACUCAUCUACAAAACUCAUUAGGUUACGCAUAGAUCGCUUAGUUCCACGCAUGAAAACCAUAAUAUCAUCUGCAAAAAGAUCAUGAGAUGGUGGAGCAAUACCCAUGGGAACUAAAAAAGUGUCAAUUAGAUCAUCUUCCACCAUCCUUGUUAAACCCCUGCUAAAUACCUCCUCAGCUAGACAAAAGAGAAUAGGAGACAAGGGAUCCCCUUGACGAAGACCAUGAGAACAUGUGAAAAAACCUUCAAUUGAACCAUUAAUAAGGAUAGAAAGAUGAGCUGAAGCUAGAAAAGAACGAAUCUAAUUCAUGAAACCUGUUGAAAAACCAAAAGCAUCCAAAACCUGGAGAAGAAAACCCCAAUCCAAAGUGUCAAACGCCUUUCGAAUAUCAAACUUGAUUGAAAUAUUCCCACCUUUACAAUAUUUAUCAAGGAGGUUCAUGCAUUCAGAAGUGAGAAUGAUGGGAUCCACAAUACAUCGUCCUGUCGUAAAAGCAUUCUGCUGGGGGGGGGAGACAAUACGAACAAUAAUAGGGCUUAGACGAUCUGCUAAAAUCUUAGCGAUAAUUUUAAAUGAAAAAUUAGCCAACGCAAUAACAUGAAGAUGAUUCAUCGAAUUCGCUCCAUCCACCUUUGGAAUUAAAACCAUUAAGUUAGAAUUGAAGUGAGGCAGAACAUUCCCUUGGGAGAAAAAACUUUGCAUUGCUUGAAACAUGUCAUUAACCAUAAUGGACCAACACCUAAAAUAGAAAGAACCGCCAAAACCAUUUGGACCCGGGGAACUAGAAUGAUCCAUAGACUUUAAAGUUUCAAAAAUUUCAUUAGGAGAUGGAAUUGCUAACAAAUACUCAUUUUCUGUUGCAGUGACUACAUUGGGAAUACUGCUAGCAACUAGACCAGUAUUCGUCACAGAACUAUCUGCAGAAAAAAAAGGUAACAACAUGUUGACUAAUAUCCAUCUGAUUAUCACGAACCCUAUUACACUAAUAUCCAUCUGAUUAUCAAGAACCCUAUUACCAUCUCUCAUAACUACCAAUGAUUGAUGAAGUUUCCUGAUUUUAACCAUGGAAUGAAAAAAUGGGUAUUAUUAUCCAUUUUAGAAAGCCAUUUAAUGGAGAUUUGUCAAGGAAAAAUAUUUCUUGUGCAAUAAGAGCCUUUUGCACACACAAAAAAGCAAGGACCAAAGCUGGAAAUUUCCUUUUGAAUUUCAACCAAAGCAACAAAAGCUCUAUCAAUAUUCAUAUUAACAUCCUCGAAAACUGACUUGUUCCAAACUUUUAUGUGAGACUUAAGCACAUGAAGCUUAGCACUAAGCACAUACAUUGGACAACCGUAAAAAUUAGAAGACUUCCAAACAUCCUCAACUAGGGAAACAAAAUCAUGGUGAUCAAACCACAUACUAUGAAACCGAAAUGGAGCCUUUGGAGUGAUUGUUAACUUUGAGAAAGAAACAAGAAGAGGACAGUGAUAAGAAGAUAUACGGAGAAAAAUGGAACAUUCCAACAAGGACCGAUCCAUUGAAAGUUACCAAGGCAACAAUCCUAUCUCAUUUCUACUUGAUUUCUUAUUCAUCUUUUAUUUGUCCAAGUGUAAGGAAAUCCUUUUGUCGGUAAAUAAAGCAAAUCACAAGCUGAAGACAUCUCUUGAAAAUCAAAACAAGAAGUAUUAGAACCCUACUCUACGUCUUCCAUAAUUGUACAGAGAGAUAGGUAGCAGAACAACAAUACUAUUUCAUUAACUUCCAUAAAAUUUUGGUUGUAGUUUAUGAAAUGGAUGAGAAGCUAAGGAUAAAUGUUGAUAUGGCACCAAUCUUAGAUAAACCAAAUCUCCCACCUCGAAUAUCCUUUCAGACCUGUGUUUAUUAGCUUGAACCUUCAUUCAACACUAAGCAGUUUCCAAAUUGCUUUUGAGUAAGGAUAAAAUUCGAUCAUUUUCCUUUAAAGCUUGAUCCUCAAAAUCAACCUUAGUAUGGCCAUUCUCAUAAGCUUGCAUUGUUAGUAAAGCUUGGUCAUAUAGAAUUUCAAAUGGAGUCAUCUUGAUUACAGAAUGAAAACUUAUGUUAAAAGAACAUUCUGCCCAAGGAAGCCAUGAAGCACAUUUCUUUGGUUACAAGCUACAAAAUCAUCUCAAAUAUGUUUCAAGACAUACGUUCAAUACCUCAGUUUGACCCAUCUAUCUGAGGAUGGUAACCAAAACUGAAGCAUAAGGAAGAGCCUUGAAGAUGAAAAAACUCUUUCCAAAAUUUGCUUAAGAAAAAUUGGACAUCGAUUUGUAUGCAUAUGAUUCAUUUGUGGAUCAGAAUCCUUUAGCUAUCCUUUCAUCCAUAUUUCAUUCACAACAUAAUUUACUUGCUGCCAUUUACUUUUGUUUUAAUUAAAUUCGUCGAAAAUCCCCCCAAUCACUGUUUUGUUGUUAGUUUAACUUAGUUUUGAGUUUUAUAAGUUUAAUUUGUGUUGAUUAGCAUCUCUUCUAAUCCCUGGAAUAGAACGAUCCCUACUUACUCAUACUACGAUUGCAUAAUUUAUAGGGUUUACUUUGUGUGUUAGUUUCUACCACAUCAAAGGCCCAUUGAGUUUAAGUUGUAUGACAACUAUAACAAAAUGGAAAUUAACCCAAAAAGUAAGCCAAAACAGCCAAACAAGAGGGAGGGUUGUUUUGUCUAUUUUGUUUCACUUAGGUCACUUAAAAGAAGUGCCUAUAUAAUGUGCAUUAUAACCUCGUUCCUCAUUAGGGAUUUUAGAAGGCAAAUGAGAGAAAAGUCACUCUCAUUUUCUCUUAGACAGCCGACCACCAUGGGAGGAAUACCUAGCAGUCUUAUCUUCCCAUGGUAACUCAUCUUCUCCUUCAUUCAUCCUUAGUGUCAAAAGUUAGAGAUCUCCUACUUUAGAGACUUUUGGAGAAUCCAUUCAAGCUUCCAAAUUCUAGAAUCCAAGGAGCAAAGAUGCAAGGUAUGAAGGCCAUCUCAUGGGUGAUUAGACUUUGCUUAUGCAAAGAGGAAAUUCAGAGGUAUAAAGAAAGCUUAACUAUCUCUUUAAAUUUAUGUUGAGUCUUGGUUCACAUCUACUAGGCAUUGAAUUUCAUAGGUAAAGUUUUGUUUUUGAGUGCAUAUGCUUGAGCUUUUUCCAUUUAAUUGUCUUUAACAACCUAUCUUGAUUAAUAUUACAGAUUUUAUAAUGGAAGGGUAUUUUGGUAAUUUCAUUGGGAUUAGGGCUGGAUAUUUUAAAUGGGUUGCUUUUGGUCUUAAUUUGUGUGCCUUGUGGGGCCACUUCUUUUGGAUUUUGUUCCCCCAGCCCAACUCUCAUUUCUCCUCUCCCUUCCCCGUGACCUCCCUUAUCUCUCUCUCCUCCUCACCUUACCUCUUUCUCUCUCGCUUUCCUCACCUCUCCCAAACUACACGCACACGGCACCACCACCCACCGUCUUUGGUGAACCCUUAAACCAGACCACCAGAUCAGUACCCUUUGACGUUAGACCUUGUGAGCCACGGACCACAUGCCAUGGAACCCCACAGUGAUAGAGUCAUUGUUCACUAACUCUCCCGGAGAGCUAUGACGUAGUUCGUGGUAUCUCUGACAAUGGCAAGCUCCUAUAACCCCAUAGAUCAUGUCUAGAAGUGGGUUUGAGACGUCUCUGGAUAGUUUUUGGAAGAAGAACCUUCGGGAAAAGGCACUGCCCAAUUUUCUGACAAAACCCGAAGCUUGUAGGCCAUUUUCUAGCCAACUCCGACCACUACACGUCUUGAAAUUGGUACAAAUCUCUUCCUUGUUCCUAGGGCUUCAUUUUGGUAUACUGGAUGAUAGGUUUUAGGUAGGUUUUGGGGAUAAACGGAACCAUAAAGGCUAUGGCUUUCUUCUUCCUCGAAACAACCAACUUGGCCUACAAAUGGGUCAAACCCGACCCAGAAACAAUAGACUGGCCCAACUUGUUGGGCCAAGGAUCCCGACCUAAACUCUAGGCCCAGAUCCAAUUACCCCAAACCCAAGUUACCAUUCGGCCCAACCCAGAAACAAGCCUGAACCCAAUUACCCAAGCCUAUCCCUGAACCCUGGCCAGUGUGUGGGUCUGCACGUGGGCCUGCAUGUGAGUACCGGUCUUGGCUAACUCGUGGAGCAUACGCGACUCCACUGAAGGUUACUAUGCUCUGCCACCGUCCACGACGACGACCAUGGCGGCGCUGGUAACUUUUCCACAACCUAAAUCAACCUUUACGGCGGUGUGUAGCCGUCUGGGUCACCGCCCCGUGGUGGUGCGUAGGGGUACCUGAGGUCCCCCUUUAUAUUUUUCGACUUCCUAAAUCCGUUUACCAAAAUUCAACUAUUUUAGUAAAGUUUUAUUAAUUGGUACCUUUAUGUGCUUAGGUGCAAUUGUAUAUGGCAUUUUCGUCCUCUCUUAUUUGCAUGGCACUUCGAUGGCAAAGUAUCUGUGAGUGGACCCCUUCCAAAAUGCAUAUUUUACUAUUAGAAAUGCAUACAUGAAAAGCAUGAUUUGUUGGUUACGUUUUAUGAAACAUCUAUGAGUAAAUUGGAUUACACUUUAUGAUAUAUUAUGAUUUAUCGACUUUACAUUGUUUGUGGUAUAUAUAAUUGAUGACUAUAUACCUACUUAUGAACAUGGUUUUACGAUAUGACGUUUUAGCUACUGGGCUCCGAUUGAGAUACAUACAUACAUACACAUAUAUAUAUAUAGGGAAGUGUUAUUGGCACUCUAAAAAUCUCAUUCUACACUCUUCACAAGUGUAUUUUUCUUUCCAAAUAUAGAAAGUUUUGAGUGCAGAAUGAGAUUUUUUGGAGUGCCAAUAACAAUUCCCUAUAUAUAUAUAUAUAUUAGAAAUAUUAUGUUUAUGUUUAUGUGCUUAUUUAAUGGUUAUUCAUACGAACUGCCUACGGGCGAACGAUACUGCCUACGAGCGAAUGAUAUCUAUAUAUGGCUUUAGUUCGAUGAUGUAGGGGCCUACGGGUGAAUGAUAUCUAGAUAUGCCUUAGGUUGGGUGAUGUAGGGGCUACGAGCAAAUGAAGAUUUGUAUAUUGGCUUCGGCCAGGAAAUGUAGUGCCUACGGGCGGAAGAUAUUUAUAUUGGCCUACGGGCGGGAGAUGUAGUGCUAUCGGGCGAAUGAAGAUAUAUGUAUAUAUAUAUAUAUGUGUGUGUGUGUGUGUGUGUGUGUGUAUUUAUGUGUGUGCGUGUGUGUGUCCGUGUGUGUGUGUGCGUGUGUGUGUGUGUAUGCCUUUGUGCUACUACUACUUAGUACACAAUAUAUAUAAUAUAUGUUUUAUGAAGUUUUAUGGCAUGCUAGGGUCUUUGGAAAACCUAUUACAUACUACGCUAUUGAGUUUUCAUAAACUUUUUGGGAUAGUACGUAGUUGAAUAACUAUUUUAGCAUUACUUAUAUAUAAACUUGGUCCACUCAUGUUUUGUUUUGCGCCCCCCCUCAGGACUUAGAAUCGAGGCGUACUGUAACACCCAACCCCCAAUUAUAUGUAUAAUUUCGUGUUCCACAAAAUGUUUACGAAAUUAUCAAUUUAGUAGUUCUUUUCCAACGAUGUGUGUUCAUCUUAACACCUCUUUGACUACUUCACUCAGGACCCCUUGUUUGUGAAUACGCGGACAUCGAAACACUCCUAGCAAAUUUGUUUGGUGCACUCAAGAAAGGUACGACAGCGCGAUCGAGACAAGAAUCAGACGACCUUUGCACAUCUCAUGAAAUGUGUACUCUCAUAGGGUUUUCAAGUUGAUCUCUUUCGAGCCCUUCUUCUUUCUACCAACAUUGACCUUGUUUGAUUAGAAAUCUGCAACUAAGCAAAACUGGAAAAGUGGUUCGAGCACUACAACAGUUCCCGAGAGAUACUGCUUGUUGAGGAAAGUGACUUCUCAUUUUCUACUUGUUUGGUUCGAGCUUUUGAGUCUGCUAUUAUCAUGGUAGCCACUUUUCUUGAAUACCAAGGUGCGUUUUUCAAAUGGGUUCUUUGUUGGCAAAACACUGGAGUAAUUGGUCAUAAUAGGAAGAACUGAGGAGGAUGGUGUGCUUGGUGCUGGAUGGAUUUGUUACGACGAUAAUUCUUACUUUGUUUAGUUGGGUACGACACUUUUGCAACAUGGUAUGAGAGUUUUCCACGGGCAACUAUUGUUGACAGAGGAGUAUUGUGGACUGAUAUUCGGAGGAUCGAUCCUACAAUAUGGGAAAUUGUUCACCCUUGAGAAAUUACCGCUUGCUUACCGAGACAACAAAUGUGAGGUCGAUAUUACAGGCUGCAGACUGUGAUAUCGAUAACUUAUUUGUUGGAUUUGUUAAGCAAGUGGGAAGGAAGACCUGUCAACGACAGUGUUGCGAAUUCAUCAUUGUAGGUGCUCGACCUAAAGAUAAAUUUUUUUCACGUAAUGCGUGAUGUUACGAAUUCUUGGGCGAAACUCACUUUCAUUCUUGAUUUUGGGUUUCAAUACAAAUAUUUUAACUUACCUUUUUAUAGUUAUAUAUAUAUAUAUACAUUUGUAUUUUCAAAGUUACAAAUGUUUUGGGGAAAGUAUUUCCGUUUUUAGUUUUAAGUUAAACAUGAGUUUUUGAUCUAUAUGUUAGUAUAUAUCUAUUUUGACGUUAUCUUAUUUUACGUUCUUACUUUUGGCCUUAAGCUAUUUUGCGUUUUCGACCUUAUACCUUUAUAAAGUAUGAUUUCUACUAUUACAUUGAUGGGGAAAGAAAGUAUGACCCUGGAGGGACGAAAGAUGGAAUCAUUGCAACCGAUCGCGAUGGUGUUGCAUUUUCCCUUUUUGUUCAACCGCUCUUACCUGAUCUCUUCGUUACAUAUAUGUAUAUUAUUCUUCUUCCUAUUUUCGAGUAUUUUCAGUGUAGUAUGUUAUUUUAAAUUUCGGGGACAAAUUUUUUAUAAGGGUGGUAGAUUGUAACACCCAAACCCCCAAUUAUAUGUAUAAUUUUGUUGUUCCCCAAAAUGUUUAAGAAAUUAUCAAUUUAGUCCAUAUUCCUUUACCCAAUUGAGCUGCCACGUGGCAGCACCCUAUCAACCCUCAUGUUCUAUCUUUGUCUCCUACCCCGUAACCCCUUCUUUCUUCUCUCUUUCUUUGCACACUCCAUUUCCUCUCUCUCGAAACCCUCAUCUCUCUCAUCUCUUCCCCGUGACCACACAUGCACACACCUAACUGUAUACCUGCUCGAGGAAACCCAUCAUCAUCAUCAACCCUAUCUCUUUCUCUCUCUCUCUCUUUCCCGUGGCUAUGAAGGCAGUGAACCCCAGAACUCUCCGACGAGAUUCCUUCAAUUUUCCGGUUAGAUAAGUUCAAAUUUACCUUUCUUUUUGUUCUAGUGUGAAGUUGAGAUGAGAUUUAUUAAGUUUAUCUCGUUAAAUUACAAGGUUUUAGAACAAAAUCAACUCGAGGGAAGGCACACCCAUUUUCGGUGAAACCGUGGGUGUCGAAGGAUUUUCCGGUCACCUCCGACCGUUCUACCGCGAACCAAAGGUAGAAAACUUCUCCUCUCACCUUGUGCUUUCAUUUGGUACCUAGAUCAGAGUCUAGGACCCUUAUUUUUAGUUGGUUGGAGCUGUAGAAGCUCCGGUGUUCGUUCCCGGCAAGAUCAGGCUUUCAGGCCGUUUUCAAAACCCACGGGCUUUAGGCCCGUUGUGAACCAUUCCAAUAACCUAACCCGUUCCCUUUUUAUUUUGAUUUUAAUUGAUUUAAAAGCUCAAAAGGCCUUCGAGCCAUGUUCUUUAGAGCCUCUGGCAGUUGGCCCAACCCAAAACCCAUUUUCUUUUAUUUAAUUUGUUUUAAAUCAAAUAGGGCCCCUUGGGCCAUUUUCUGAUAAGGGCGUUAAGCCCAAUCUCUAAACCCUUGGGCUUUUGGACCUAAGCCCUAAUCCGGAUCCAAGCCCAAAACCAGUUGACCUAGUCUGACCCAAUUGACUGACCCGUUGACCUGGUUGACCUUUGACCUGGUCAACGUUGAUAGUUGACCGUUGACUUUAACUUUCGGGUUGACUUUCAGUUUUCGUCCGAGACCCCUCCUAGACUAAUUUCGACGUCCUGAAUCCGUUUUCGAUGUCCGUUUUCCCAAAUUAAAUUGUUUGAGUAGAGUUUGACUAAAUGUGUUAUUUAUGUGCUUAAGGGCAAUUAUUGUGAUGUUUCCGUCUUCGCUAGUGGCGCAGUUUUGGCGGCUAAGUAUUGUGAGUGGACCCCUUCUAAAAUUACAUGAUUUUAUAGUUCAACUUGCAUAAAUGAAUAGCAUGCCUUAAGAGUUUAUGAUUUGAUUUUAUGUUAAGCAUGGUUAUUGAAUAUGUUGAUUUUCGUCCUGUGUUUUUGGUGAGGAAUUAAUUGUUGGCCUAUUUUGAGCUAUAUUUUAAUAUAUAGUAUUUUCUAUAAAAACCAUGAACUGGUAGACUAUCCGAUGGAUGACGAUAGGAUGCUAGAACAUGUUUUCGAAACCCCUCUUUAUAGUAUAAACAAUGGAUGACUUUAUACUAUGAAGUGGUUAUUUUUUUAGAGACGUAACUAUUUGUGCGUACCUAGUGGACACUAUGCUACCUGGGGCGAGGAUUAGGUGUUGGUAGUUAGGCCGGGAGAAAUAAUCCUUAGUAAAACGCUGAGGGACAUGGAGAUAGGCAUUGGGCCGGGAGAGAGUUAUCUUUGGCUACGGGCACAGAGACUUAGGUGCAGGCAUUGGGCUGGGAGUAUUAUUAUCCAGUGAUCUUACUGGCAGCACACCACGCUUACGAGACAAUAUGUGAGACUAUUGAUGCUUUGGUUUCUGUUAUGUUUUCCGCAAUAUGUCUUUUGAGAUGUUUAUGGCAUGCUAGGGUUUUCAGAGAAACCUAUCAUUUAUUACGCUAGUAGUUUUCAUUAUUAAAACCUUGGGGGUUAGUAUGUUUAUAACUGUUUUUGUAUUAUGUAUAUAUAUAAACUUGGUCCACUCACCCUUAUUUUGCGCCCCCUUUCAGGAUUUAGAAUCGAGGCAUACGAUCCUGAGAUCAACGUUUUCGCAUUGGCAUAUUCGAGUCCUCUCGAUGUAAGACCCACAUCCUCUUAUUUAUUCAAUUUUAUAUUAAUUCUUUUAGAGCUCUAGUUAGUUGUAGGCUCUGAACACGUUCCUAAAUUAUUAACUCAUUGUAUUUAAAUUCAUAAACCUUAUUUACUUCUUAUUCUUAGCUUUUGUAUCAAUUAAUGGCUUUCGUCUCCCUCGGGUGUACGCCAGCACGUGUCUAUUUUGGUAUUCGGGGAAUAUCAGGGUCGAGGUGUGUCACGUACAUUCCCAGCCUUAGGGCACUUCAGCAUCGGUAUCUUCUUUGUUCAUUCAAUUUUAUAUUAUUUCCUUUAUAGUGUUAGUUGUAUACUCUCAACAUGUUCCACAAUUGUAUAAGAAUUGUAUUUAAAUCUAUAAGUUUUAUUUAUAUUCGUAUUUCUUCAUUUUUCUCAUGCAUGUUAGUAUGGCUUUGUCACAUUCGGGUGUCGGCCAGCACGUGCCUACCCUGGUGUUUGAAGGAUAUCAGGGUAAGGUGAGACAUACAUGUUAUAUGUAUGUUGCUCAAAUGAACUUAGUUUAUACAAUUUUUUCCUUCAAGAGGUAUCAAGAGCCUACGUCUAGUAGUUUGUGAACCAUUUUGGGUUAUCGAUAUUCAUGGGUUUGAUUUUGCUUCCAUAUUAAAAAUGUAUUAAUGUUGUUUGUGUUGGAAGUAUGCCCACAAAGCCACUCAUUUGAUGUAAUAGCUUUUUGGAAUACUUAUUGUAUUAAACUUUUAUAUGUUUAAUGAAGGGCAAAGCUUAUUGUUAAUCACUAUUUAUUGUAUCAUGUGUUUAAGCAAUAAGGGAAUCCAAGGAAUGUAUUUGUUCUAAGAGAGAAGUGAUCUAAUGAGUUAGAUUAUCGAGACCUCACUCUUAUGUUCAUUCCUAAAACGUUCCUAGCCAUAGGAUUGCCAAUUGGGCAUUGACAAUCCGCUAAGGUUAGUAUGUGUUAUGUUGACUCAAACGUGAGUAUGAACUAGUCUCAAGUCAUUUGGUGUUGGACACUGAGACAAACACAUAGGUGCUCGAAAGAGUAAUCGAGUACACUGAACGUCGAUCAAAAGAGAGUUCGAACAUACAUGUCAUGUAUGAACUCUAAAGUUGCAAUAUGCAAAGUAGUCCUUUGACCUGAGGCAUCAUAGAUGUCUAAUGGUUAGGUCCUUGAUCUUUGAUCAUGUCAAUGGCAUUCCUUCGGAUUGUCCACGGCAUUGUUGGGGUCAAGCUAUCUAGUCAUGUAGGCAUAUGAAUGCACAACAAGGGAUCUCUAACCUUCCAUGGUGGAAGGAGAAUACUCUAAGAAGAUAUGAUUCUAAAGUCUUUGGCCAAAGCAUAUGAAUAUGACUUAGGAAGUUUGUUCCAAAUCAUAUUCAAAGGAAUCAUAUAGGAAAGUAUCACAUUGGAUAGUAGACAUGAAACAAACUAUCACUUAAAACAAUGUGAUUAAGAGUAUUGUAUUAGAGAAGGACCGUAUUGCAUUGUAGUUGUAACUGGAUAGGUUUUCCAACCAAUUCUACUUAGCUUGGGUAACCAUGAUAUGCUGCUGCUAGGUGUCACUCAUGGUUUGUGGAAGCCCUGAAGAUUAGCAAACACUAAUCUUAAGGGAGAAUUGAAAUGUGGUUUCAAUUCACAAUCGAUCGUUAAGAGUAACAUCGCCCACUGCCUCGCUAUUUGGAACCUAAUGGAUCGCACACCACAUAAGGAUGUUAGUGAAGAAA